rnacentral:rRNA from 1 species
UACAGAGGUCUCAAGCGUUGUUCGGAUUCAUUGGGCGUAAAGGGCGCGUAGGCGGGCCAUCAAGUCAGGGGUGAAAGCCCCCAGCUCAACUGGGGAAGUGCCUUUGAUACUGGUGGUCUCGAGGGGGAUAGGGGCAUGCGGAACUUCCGGUGGAGCGGUGAAAUGCGUAGAUAUCGGAAGGAACACCGGUGGCGAAAGCGGCGUGCUGGAUCCCUUCUGACGCUGAGGCGCGAAAGCCAGGGGAGCGAACGGG